rnacentral:rRNA from 1 species
AUGAACGCUGGCGGCGUGCCUAAUACCUGCAAGUCGAGCGAACGGACGAGAAGCUUGCUUCUCUGAUGUUAGCGGCGGACGGGUGAGUAACACGUGGAUAACCUACCUAUAAGACUGGGAUAACUUCGGGAAACCGGAGCUAAUACCGGAUAAUAUUUUGAACCGCAUGGUUCAAAAGUGAAAGACGGUCUUGCUGUCACUUAUAGAUGGAUCCGCGCUGCAUUAGCUAGUUGGUAAGGUAACGGCUUACCAAGGCAACGAUGCAUAGCCGACCUGAGAGAGUGAUCGGCCACACUGGAACUGAGACACGGUCCAGACUCCUACGGGAGGCAGCAGUAGGGAAUCUUCCGCAAUGGGCGAAAGCCUGACGGAGCAACGCCGCGUGAGUGAUGAAGGUCUUCGGAUCGUAAAACUCUGUUAUUAGGGAAGAACAUAUGUGUAAGUAACUGUGCACAUCUUGACGGUACCUAAUCAGAAAGCCACGGCUAACUACGUG